CAGCCGCCACGGUAAUACGGAGGGUGCAAGCGUUAAUCGGAUUUACUGGGCGUAAAGCGUGCGUAGGCGGCUUCUUAAGUCGGAUGUGAAAUCCCUGAGCUUAACUUAGGAAUUGCAUUCGAUACUGGGAAGCUAGAGUAUGGGAGAGGAUGGUAGAAUUCCAGGUGUAGCGGUGAAAUGCGUAGAGAUCUGGAGGAAUACCGAUGGCGAAGGCAGCCAUCUGGCCUAAUACUGACGCUGAGGUACGAAAGCAUGGGGAGCAAACAGGAUUAGAUACCCCCGUAGUCCCUGUCUCUUAUAC
rnacentral:rRNA from 1 species